rnacentral:rRNA from 1 species
UCGGGAAUAUUGCCCAAUGGUCGCAAGACUGAGGCAGCAACGCCGCGUGCGCGAUGAAGGCCUUCGGGUCGUAAAGCGCUUUUCAGUGGGAUGAGGAAGGACAGUACCACUGGAAUAAGGUACGGCUAACUACGUGCCAGCAGCCGCGGUAAAACGUAGGUACCGAGCGUUAUCCGGAUUUACUGGGCGUAAAGCGUGUUCAGGCGGUCUAGCAAGUCGGGCAUGAAAUCUCUCGGCUCAACCGGGAGGGGUUGUCCGAUACUGCUGGGCUUGAGGGCAGCAGAGGGUGGUGGAAUUCCGGGUGUAGUGGUGAAAUGCGUAGAUAUCCGGAGGAACACCAGUGGCGAAGGCGGCCACCUGGGCUGUACCUGACGCUCAAACACGAAAGCUAGGGGAGCGAACGG